rnacentral:rRNA from 1 species
GACGAACGCUGGCGGCGUGCUUAACACAUGCAAGUCGAACGGAAAGGCCCCCACCUUGGUGGGGGUGCUCGAGUGGCGAACGGGUGAGUAACACGUGGGUGAUCUGCCCUGUACUUCGGGAUAAGCUUGGGAAACUGGGUCUAAUACCGGAUAGGACCAUGGUUUAGUGUCUCAUGGUGGAAAAAUUAUUGUUUUGGUGCAGGAUGAGCUCGCGGCCUAUCAGCUUGUUGGUGGGGUAAUGGCCUACCAAGGCGUCGACGGGUAGCCGGCCUGAGAGGGUGGACGGCCACAUUGGGACUGAGAUACGGCCCAGACUCCUACGGGAGGCAGCAGUGGGGAAUAUUGCACAAUGGGCGCAAGCCUGACGCAGCGACGCCGCGUGGGGGAUGACGGCCUUCGGGUUGUAAACUCCUUUCGUUAGGGACGAAGCCACACCUUUUUUGGG